AAGGAUAAGCUCUCAAAGGACAACACAACAAUUCUCCUUUGGUCUAGAAGAGACCAAAUUGAAGGAAAUUUAAUGCUGCGAGUAUUUGUAACAUAAUACAUGUUCAUGGUUUUUGUAUAACGCUCCAUAAAGGAAAUGUAUUCCUAAAGGAAAUACUGGAUUGAUUAAAUGAAGGUAGAGUGCCCAUGCCACCGAAACACCAUUUGAAGCAUUCAACAUGUUUCUGCUCAGUCACUGUCAGAAAAACAACUAAAGAGGCUGUCAAAAAUAAUAAAAAAAUCUCACCCAAGAACAGCAGCAUUUUCAGCUUUGUCUGCUACAGUGGAGCCUUUGCUACCCUCUGAGUUCUGAAAUGCAUCGGUACCUGAAGUCCCUGUGAGAAGGGGAAAAAGAACUACAGUUCCAAACUCCAACUGCACCUCCUCUGCUUUUCAAAAACAGCGGCCUUGUCCAAGGCUUUAAAGUGCAUGUGCACUUUUGUUUUUUUAGAACAGAAGGGACAUAAUAUCCUUUCAUUUCUUCCGGAAAGUUUAACUGCUUGCCUUAGUGUUAAGUCAGAAAGGAUGGGACAUCAAAUUGGACAGAAAAGAGAAGAGCUGAUGGGUAGAACAGUUAAGCUGAAAAUAGAAGAGCUGGACCAGUAA
rnacentral:lncRNA from 1 species